rnacentral:rRNA from 1 species
ACGCUCGACACCUACGGAAGGCAGCAGUGAGGAAUAUUGGUCAAUGGACGCAAGUCUGAACCAGCCAUGCCGCGUGCAGGAUGACGGCUCUAUGAGUUGUAAACUGCUUUUGUACGAGGGUAAACGCAGAUACGUGUAUCUGUCUGAAAGUAUCGUACGAAUAAGGAUCGGCUAACUCCGUGUCAGCAGCCGCGGUAAUCUGAGCGGGCUGGCAAGGC